UCCCUGAUAGCUCAGUUGGUAAAGAAUCUGCUUGCAAUGCAGGAGACCCUGGUUUGAUUCCUGGGCCAGGAA
rnacentral:tRNA from 1 species